UCUUAGUAUAAUUUGCUUCCCACCUAGUUAGAUUCUCUAUAUCUUCUCAAAUCUAAUUAACUUAAUUAAAACCUAUCUUUUAUUCUUCUUACUUUAGAUAACAUAACAUAAAAAGAAAAUAAAGACACAACAUAAUACUAAACUAAAAUAUAGAAACUAAUUAAAUCUUAAAAGCUUUUUACUUGUAUUGGACAUCCUUUCUUUUUGCAUUGUAUAUUUCUAUAAAAUAUCUUAAGGGCAUAACGCAUGAAUAACAAAAGGUGA
rnacentral:lncRNA from 1 species